AUUACACUAGGUGAAGUGAGAGUUAGUAAUUCUAAUAUCAAUCAAUCCACGGUUAUCUAAAAUGUUUUGAAAAUCCAAACUUUUAGCCAUUUUGUGAGGUUUGGCCCCCAGUUUCUCUGCGGGAUCCAAAAUCAGAUUGAAGUCUCCACCAAUGCACCAGGAUCCAGUAACCUUCUGUUUAUCUUUUUCAUGACUUUCCCGAAGACCCCUUGUUUCGGUAGUAGUACACUUAGCAUACAUAACAGAGAAAAAGUAUCUAGGUUCAUUGAUGCAUACUUCAUAUUAAUUGUAAUGUGUUGAUCAUCUUCUGAGAUUAGAUCAACUUGAGUGAUAUUGCUUCAGAAACACCAAAAUUUCCCAUUGGAGUUCUCAAGGCAAUUCUGAUAUCCUAGAAACUUUCUAUAUCCAUAGUUUUACCUCUAGCCACAAAAGGUUCAAAGAUGGCUGCAAGCUAAAAUUUAUUGAUGUGAACAAGUUUUCUUAAUCUGUGAAUGGAUUUCUUAGACCUAACACCCCUUAUAUUCCAAAAAAUAGCACUAAUCAUUGAUAAUACUAUGGGUGUUACCUUUUUGUGUUUCCUCUUUGGAAAGUGCUGAUAAUGAUUUUUUUAUCUUUUAUUUAUUUUCCAUUUUUCCUUAUUUUACUUCUCCCUAUUACUGGUGGAUGGUUCAUCCAAGUCUGAUUUCCCCAAACGGGUCAUUCAGACUCUUAGUGAUGUAUUACCAGAGACGGAUCCAGAAUUUUAAACUUGUGGGUUCCUUUCCUGCCACUAAGUUAUCCCUUGGUUUAGUUAUGGAUCUCAUCUAUUAAUCUUUAUAACUUUUGGUGAUUUUUCUAUGUAAUUUUAAGCCUUACUGUAGCAGAUAUGGUUCUCUACCUUCGCCAAUGUGUAUAACCUUCCUUCUGUCUAUAGAUUGCUCAAAUAAUUAUGUACUCUCAGACUGAACUUUUGCUUUCUUUUCUGAUCUUUUGUUUUCUUGUACUCCGCCAACAUCCUUCUCAAUCUACAUUACAUUUCCCAAGUCAACAAUCAAAUUUAAACUUGGCAAUUAUUUUAUCUCAGUUGGGACAUUUGAAGAUUCAGAAUCAUUGUCUUGUAAACUAGCAAUAUAAUCUUGGUGGUAAUUAUCUUUGAUGUUCUGCUCUUCGCUAUCAAAAACAUUGUUCAUGGUACAGAUCUCCCUGUUGUGGUUUAUUUGUUGUUCCUUAGUACAAGUAGUAGAUUGUUCUUCCUCAAUGAUAACUUCGCCACCUGUGUGCUUGUCUUUAUAUCUUUAUCUUCAAUUGCCCGCUCUCUCUUUAUUUUCAAUAACAACAAUCUCAUUUUUGUUGUCACUAAUCUUUCAUUUUUCUGUUUUUUCCUUGUCUUGGCUAGCUUCCUGAUGAUUUACCUUUCUGAUUGUUAUUGUCAUCUAUAUUUGCUUUGUUUUGUUCAUGCUGUCCAGUAGUGGAUGUACAAAUAUUGUCUUUCCCAGGUUUGAUAGGAUUGUAUAUGAGUUAUGACCUUACUUUUCUUUCGAGGCAUCUUCUUUUUCUUUUUCUUUUUUUCUUUGACUAGCCUUUGACAUCUUUGCCAGCUUUGAAGGUGAAAUUUUUUAUCUACUUGAUAUUAUAGUUGUCAGCCUGCUCUUUGUUGGUUUUCUGCCCUUCUGUGAUGUUGUCCCUACCAAUUUCAUUUUCUUCAUUCAUCACCAUCUUGAUUCCCUUUCUCUUUCUUAUUUUCUUUAUUACUUGUUUCUGCUGCCUUUUCAAUUUUCCUGCAUUAGGGUAACGAAUGACCCAGUAUUUUACAAUGCCUGCAGAAUUUUGGGACAUUCUCAUACUCUAAUUUUUGAGUAAAGCCUUUCAGCGGGAAAAUGUCAUCUUUCAGUUCCCACCCUAACAGAAUCUAUCUUUGAUUUAGUAAGAUCGACUUCAAUUCUCACUUUUGCCAUACUCUGUCUAGUUUUGUGAUUUGUGGCUAAGUCCAUCGAUAAAGGAUUGCCAACGAGAGCAACAAUCUUUUUAACACAGUUCCACAUAUGACAAUGAAAAGGAAGUUUCGGCAACAAUACCCAUAUCAGAACUAUUGGAGAAUCUUUAUUCGGUUUAAAGUUCGGAGUCCACUUCUCCAAACACAUUACCUGACCCUCAAUUUCUAUAGAGCGUUUGUACCACACAAAUUUGAAAUCCUCUACAUCAUUAAAUCUAGAAAUAUAAUACGAUAAUCGUAGACUCCUAUUUUAAUGUUACCUUUUAAAGAAAUUUUGUCUGCAAACUUCGAUUGAAUUUUCUCUAUUUGUGGUCGAGCUCUCAUGAACUUUCCUACCAAGGUUAGUUUGCAUCUGCCAUCCCUCCAUAACAGUCAUUGCAAUGUGAGUGGUGUAACGAGCUUUUACCUCUGGAUUUCCCAGUCGAUUGGGAUUAGGGCUCGUAUUCGUUGUGGGUCAAACUACAUUUAUAUAAUUGGGUUUUGGAAAUUUUGUUUUGUAGAUGAAGUCACAACAUCUGGGAGAGGUGAGAAUUCCACAGGACGCACUUGUUCGAUAGUCUCCGG
rnacentral:lncRNA from 1 species